rnacentral:misc_RNA from 1 species
AAACCCUCAAGCCUCGCUUGGUAUUAGGCGUCGGGGACUCCCCGCGCCUCCAUUUCGCCGGCUGGCUGUCGUUUGACUUAGCGUUGUGACACAUGUCGCUAACGACGAAGACGGACUGCGCCGUAAGAACUCUCUUGGAUGUCUAACAUCUAGUACA